rnacentral:rRNA from 1 species
UAUGUGAUCGUCUCUCGCAUAUCAAUAAGCGGAGGAAAAGAAACUAACAAGGAUUCCCCUAGUAACGGCGAGUGAAGCGGGAAGAGCUCAAAUUUGAAAUCUUAAAGGGUUUCCCUUUACGAAUUGUAGUUUAAAGAAGUGUUUUCUGUUGAGGUUUUGGUAAAAGUUCUUUGGAAUAGGACAUCAUAGAGGGUGAGAAUCCCGUAUUUGACCUUUACUUUCAACUUUGUGAUACACUUUCAAAGAGUCGGAUUGUUUGGGAAUGCAGUCCAAAAUGGGUGGUAAAUUUCAUCUAAAGCUAAAUAUUGGCGAGAGACCGAUAGCGGACAAGUACCGUGAGGGAAAGAUGAAAAGAACUUUGAAAAGAGAGUUAAACAGUACGUGAAAUUGUCAAAAGGGAAGCGUUUGACACCAGUGUUGUUUUUCUGAAAAUCAAUUAAAGAACUGUUUAUGCUAAGUUGUUUAGACUUUAUCAGCUAAUCUGUUUAGUUUUGAGCUUUUCUUUAAUGCACUUUUCAGUUAACAAGUCAACAUCAAUUUCUUUUGCUGUAAAAAAGCUUGAGGAAGGUGGCUUGAGAUUCGUCUUAAGUGUUUAUAGCCUCUUGCCUAUGCAGUCGGAGAGAUUGAGGUCUGCAGCGUAGAUCCUUCGGGGCUAAAUGCAUUUGUGCUAAGUUAUAGCAUUUUAUAGACAACUUGUUGACUAUGAUUUGUCUUGUAGCUUACUCGCUUAUGUUAUUUUACCUACGCUUAGGAUGUUGAUCUACAGAGCGAGAGU